CCUUUUGUUUUCCUUCUCAGUUUCUUCUAGGGUCUGUUAUCUUAUCUUAGCUGAUUUGAUCUCUCAUUGUUGGGUUCUGCAUCAUCGAAUAGGGGUUUGUAGCCAGAUUCAGCGACGGCAUAAUGAAGAAGAAGAAGAAAAAGAUUGAGAUUUGGAUUAUUGAAAUCGGUAUGAGCAGAUUCGGAAAUUAAAACAAAAACUUGGCAGUUCUAGAUGUGAUUCAUUUGGUCAGAGAAACCGAAGAAGUUAGAAUUGAAGCUGCUAUUUCAAUUUCGAUGUUUGUCUAGUUGUUAAACCACUCUACCAUCAUUAUACAUCUUGAAUUUGAACUACUCCUUGAAAGAAUUACAACAUCGGGAUCAAUGAUUUUUCCUCUCAUGCAGCAAUAGUAGAAAUCGGUGGAUUCACUUUUUUAAUUUUUUUUUUUUUUGGUGUACAUAAUUAUUUGAGUUAAUCUAUGGAUUCCACUUUGUUAUGAUCUUUACUGUCUUUUUGAUUAUUUUGUAUAAAUGUUUCUUUCAUUCCAGUAAGCAUCAUUUUAUAAUGUCCUGUACACACAAGAAAAAAUUGUGCUUGAAUGGGUAUUCCAUUAAGUAGUGGGAGGUCAAUUUUUGGUUACCUGCAGAUGAAAGUCCCCUGUAGCUCUGCCCCUCCGGAAACCUGGAUUAAGCAACUAUUUGGUGCAAGGCUGCUUGCUGUUUCUUUUUCGUGCUAAAUUUGAUUGGGAAACAUCACGUUAACAGGCACUGCAAAUUAAUUCUUCGAGGUUGUCAUAGGAGCAGCAAAGAAACAUGUAUACCAGGACAAGUCCUCAAUUUUGAAUAGCAGCAAUGACAAAUCCAAGGCGAAUUCCAACAAGGAAUCCUUUGCGCUUUAGUUGUGGUCUGCAGACAGUGAUGCAAGGCUGCCUGCUCUGCUGUUACUUUUUUUCGUGCUAAAUUUGUAUUGAAAACAUCACAUUAACAGAGUAAGCGUCGGCACUACAAAUUCUUUGAGGUUGUUACAGCAGCAUCCAAGAAACAACUGUAUGAUGACAAGUCUCAAUUCUGAAUAAUAGCAAUGAUAAAUGCAAGGCGAAUUCCAGCAAGGCAGGUUAUGUCAAAUGCGCUUUGGCAAGAAGCAGGGAUUCAGUUUGUUGAUGAUUCCCAAAAACCUGACAAGUCAUUAAUAAGUAUAUUUGAGCAGCAAAUUUGGAACAUCAUAUAUGAGCUACUUAAGUUAGCAAUGAUCUGAGUUUCGGAAAAUAUCGAUGGAGAAGGGAAAUGAUAAGAAAAUCUGCAAAUGGGAUUCGAAGUCGCACUGACCUGACUGUCUUCACAGUUUUUGCUUUGCAAGCUCCGAGUGUCACAAGACUUUCAAUCAUUUCAUUUUCGGCUCUCACAGUUUCCAUUGUAUUCUUAACGCCUAAAAUUGUCUACAUUGGAAAGACUUCCAUGAUCUGUUAUAUCAAGCUGAGUCGCAAUUGCAUUCUUACUGCCUUCAAUUGUCUACAUUAAAAAGCAAUACAUUUGGACUUAUAAAGUGCACAUUACCUGAAACAGUUUCAGUGAGACUAUGGUACCAGGAUGU